rnacentral:rRNA from 1 species
AGUGAACGCUGGCGGUAGGCCUAACACAUGCAAGUCGAACGGCAGCACAGUAAGAGCUUGCUCUUACGGGUGGCGAGUGGCGGACGGGUGAGGAAUACAUCGGAAUCUACUUUUUCGUGGGGGAUAACGUAGGGAAACUUACGCUAAUACCGCAUACGACCUACGGGUGAAAGCAGGUGAUCUUCUGACCUUGCGCGAUUGAAUGAGCCGAUGUCGGAUUAGCUAGUUGGCGGGGUAAAGGCCCACCAAGGCGACGAUCCGUAGCUGGUCUGAGAGGAUGAUCAGCCACACUGGAACUGAGAAACGGUCCAGACUCCUACGGGAGGAAGCAGUGGGGAAUAUUGGACAAUGGGCGCAAGCCUGAUCCAGCCAUACCGCGUGGGUGAAGAAGGACUUCGGGUUGUAAAGCCCUUUUGUUGGGAAAGAAAAGCAGCAGGUUAAUACCCCGCUGUUCUGACGGUACCCAAAGAAUAAGCACCGGCUAACUUCGUG